GUCACAGCCUAUUUCAUCGGUCUCUAGUCUGCAGCUGGGACCAAGGGUUCUGCCAGGCCUUGGGAUCAGCCGUGGGUGGUCAGAGCAGCCCCGCUUCACCAUCCACUGCUGAGCUGUUGCAGCGGCUUUUCCCUCCCCUCUUGGAUAUCCUUCGCCAGCCUAGGCCAGAACUUAGCCUGUGCCAGCCUGCAGGUCCUACGCCUGUCGCUCUGGGACUCUGUACCCUGCAGACCACCUUGCUCUGGUUCUUGGGCAAAGCUCAGCAGCACCUGGCAGCAUGGGCGCCUGGUCCCUUCCUACUCCUGAUCCAGAAGGACUUGCCUCCUCUUCUGCAUGCAGUGGAAGCG
rnacentral:lncRNA from 1 species